rnacentral:rRNA from 1 species
AAGUGAGAAUGCCGGUAUGAGUAGCGAAAGACGGGUGAGAAUCCCGUCCACCGAAUGCCUAAGGUUUCCUGAGGAAGGCUCGUCCGCUCAGGGUUAGUCAGGACCUAAGCCGAGGCCGACAGGCGUAGGCGAUGGACAACAGGUUGAUAUUCCUGUACCACCUCUUUAUCGUUUGAGCAAUGGAGGGACGCAGAAGGAUAGAAGAAGCGUGCGAUUGGUUGUGCACGUCCAAGCAGUUAGGCUGAUAAGUAGGCAAAUCCGCUUAUCGUGAAGGCUGAGCUGUGAUGGGGAAGCUCCUUAUGGAGCGAAGUCUUUGAUUCCCCGCUGCCAAGAAAAGCUUCUAGCGAGAUAAAAGGUGCCUGUACCGCAAACCGACACAGGUAGGCGAGGAGAGAAUCCUAAGGUGUGCGAGAGAACUCUGGUUAAGGAACUCGGCAAAAUGACCCCGUAACUUCGGGAGAAGGGGUGCUUUCUUAACGGAAAGCCGCAGUGAAUAGGCCCAAGCGACUGUUUAGCAAAAACACAGCUCUCUGCGAAGCCGUAAGGCGAAGUAUAGGGGGUGACACCUGCCCGGUGCUGGAAGGUUAAGGAGAGGGGUUAGCGUAAGCGAAGCUCUGAACUGAAGCCCCAGUAAACGGCGGCCGUAACUAUAACGGUCCUAAGGUAGCGAAAUUCCUUGUCGGGUAAGUUCCGACCCGCACGAAAGGUGUAACGAUUUGGGCACUGUCUCAACCAGAGACUCGGUGAAAUUAUAGUACCUGUGAAGAUGCAGGUUACCCGCGACAGGACGGAAAGACCCCGUGGAGCUUUACUGUAGCCUGAUAUUGAAUUUUGGUACAGUU